UGUCAUAUGUGGGAUUCGAACCCACGCUCUCAGUAGAUUGCCAGAACUUAAGUCUGGCGCCUUAGACCACUCAGCCAAUCGGAC